rnacentral:rRNA from 1 species
GACGAACGCUGGCGGCGUGCUUAACACAUGCAAGUCGAACGGAAAGGCCCUGCUUUUGUGGGGUGCUCGAGUGGCGAACGGGUGAGUAACACGUGAGUAACCUGCCCUUGACUUUGGGAUAACUUCAGGAAACUGGGGCUAAUACCGGAUAGGAGCUCCUGCUGCAUGGUGGGGGUUGGAAAGUUUCGGCGGUUGGGGAUGGACUCGCGGCUUAUCAGCUUGUUGGUGGGGUAGUGGCUUACCAAGGCUUUGACGGGUAGCCGGCCUGAGAGGGUGACCGGCCACAUUGGGACUGAGAUACGGCCCGGACUCCUACGGGAGGCAGCAGUGGGGAAUAUUGCACAAUGGGCGGAAGCCUGAUGAAGCAACGCCGCGUGCGGGAUGACGGCCUUCGGGUUGUAAACCGCUUUCGCCUGUGACGAAGCGUGAGUGACGGUAAUGGGUAAAGAAGCACCGGCUAACUACGUG